CUGGUGUCAGCCGCCGCGGUAAUACCAGCACCCCGAGUGGUCGGGACGUUUAUUGGGCCUAAAGCAUCCGUAGCCGGUUCUACAAGUCUUCCGUUAAAUCCACCUGCUUAACAGAUGGGCUGCGGAAGAUACUAUAGAGCUAGGAGGCGGGAGAGGCAAGCGGUACUCGAUGGGUAGGGGUAAAAUCCGUUGAUCCAUUGAAGACCACCAGUGGCGAAGGCGGCUUGCCAGAACGCGCUCGACGGUGAGGGAUGAAAGCUGGGGGAGCAAACCGGAUUAGAUACCCGGGUAGUCCCAGCUGUAAACGAUGCAGACUCGGUGAUGAGUUGGCUUAUUGCUAACUCAGUGCCGCAGGGAAGCCGUUAAGUUUGCCGCCUGGGGAGUACGGUCGCAAGACUGAAACUUAAAG
rnacentral:rRNA from 2 species